AGUGAACGUUGGCGGCGUGGAUUAGGCAUGCAAGUCGAGCGAGAACCGUAGCAAUACGGGGACAGCGGCGAAAGGGACAGUAAUAUGUAGGUACCUACCCUCGGGUCCGGGAUAGCUGCGGGAAACUGCAGGUAAUACCGGAUGACAUCUCCGGAUCAAAGGUGUGAUUCCGCCCGGGGAGGGGCCUGCAUCCUAUUAGCUAGUUGGUGGGGUAACGGCUCACCAAGGCGACGAUGGGUAGCGGGUGUGAGAGCAUGACCCGCGUCAUUGGGACUGAGACACUGCCCAGACACCGACGGGUGGCUGCAGUCGAGAAUCUUCGGCAAUGGGGGAAACCCUGACCGAGCGACGCCGCGUGCGGGAUGAAGGCCCUCGGGUUGUAAACCGCUGUCGUAGAGGAGGAAAUGCAGGGGGGUUCUCCCCUCUGUUUGACCUAGUCUAGGAGGAAGGACGGGCUAAGUUCGUGCCAGCCGCCGCCGUAA
rnacentral:rRNA from 1 species